rnacentral:snRNA from 1 species
GUUUGCUUUGCCAACAAAAUAAAAUUACAACAAUAUAGUGAAGAUCAGCAUGGCCACUGUGCAAGGAUGACACGCAACUUUGUGACGUGUUUCAUAUUUUA